CCAACUGUUUACCAAAAACAUAGCCUUUAGCUUUACAAGUAUUAAAGGUCCUGCCUGCCCAGUGACUCUCUUAAACGGCCGCGGUAUCCUAACCGUGCAAAGGUAGCAUAAUCACUUGUCCCCUAAAUAGGGACUAGAAUGAACGGCUAAAUGAGGACUUAACUGUCUCUUGCAGAAGGCCAAUGAAACUGAUCUUCCAGUCCAUAAGCUGAAAUAUUAUCAUAAGACGAGAAGACCCUGUGGAGCUUUAAACCUCGACCACCAAACAUGUUCCUCCUGGUUUUUAGUUGGGGCGACUUCGGGGUACAAAACAACCUCCGACAAAACACCAUGUCGAGAUCCACACAUCAAAACAACCACUUGACCCAGUAGUUUUAACUAAACUAUCUGACCAAUGAACCAAGUUACCCCAGGGAUAACAGCGCUAUCCCCUUCUAGAGUCCUUAUCGACAAGGGGGCUUACGACCUCGAUGUUGGAUCAGGAGACCCUGAUAGUGCAACCGCUAUCAAGGGUUCGUUUGUUCAACGAUUAAUAAUCCUACGUGAUCUGAGUUCAGACCGG
rnacentral:rRNA from 1 species